ensembl:lncRNA
UGGAUAAUGAUAGGAUAUAUUCACACCUUGGAAAUGAGGUGGUGAAUUUUUUGAAUCUUCUGAUAGAGUUCAGCACAAUGAGAAUCCCCACGGAGGGACAUGGGGUGAGAAUCUGUCCCAGCGAUAGCAGGUGAUGACAGGGGGCUCUGUUUCAAUAUGUUUUGGACAGAAAAUCACAGCUUUGGUCUGCCGAAACUGCUACUCUUGCCUUCUUCCUGCCAAAAGUUCAGAAGAUGGGAAAACUAUCUAACCAAUGAAGCUUUCCAGUCUUGGGGAAAAGGAUACAGAACGGGAAUAUUGUGGAAGAAGGCCAUAGGGCCCAUGAGAGGUCCUGGCCUGCUCUGGGG